UUAAAAUAUUUCUGAAUUUUUAAGAUAUUAACUAUUAAAUAAGUAUGUGAUUACAUCAUGAAGGAGGCUACUGAUUCUGGCCCUGUGACACUUGGUGGUGACGUGUGAGCUGAUUCACCUGGUAAAUAACUUUUAAAUUAAAUAUUUUGUUUUUGCUAUCAAAAGUAAAUUAACUAAUAACCUGCAUUACUGCAGGACACUCAGCAAAAUAUGGACUCUACACCAUGAGGCAGGCACACGUUAAUAACUCUAUAAGAGCACAUAAGCAUGAGGAUGUCCUCACACACCUGUCAUCUGGUUAUGAGAGCAUGAGGAUGUCCUCACACACCUGUAACCUACCAGCUCAUCUGGCAGAAUAGAGAGAGAAGAGACAACACCACAUCUCCUGUUCCUGGAAAGCCUUCAGCCAUCCUUCGAUGACUGAGAACCUCCAUCAGCUCUGUCUCCUGUCUGCCUACAAUUAUUAUAAUAAAUAUUGUGUUUGACAAGUU